AUGCUAAUUUUAAACUUCGGAAUAGGGAAAUCCGCGGGGGAUAUUUAAAUAUCCCCCGCGGAUUUCCCUAUUCCGAAGUUUAAAAUUAGCAU
rnacentral:pre_miRNA from 1 species